AUCUCUCGCUCACGCUCUGGCUCUGAAAGGUGUCUUCUGAUUGUGUAGGGGCCUAUCCAAAUAUGGCGGAAGCAAAAUCCAAUGCAUCAUAUCCAUAUUCGUCAGGCUGAGGCUGUGAAUAAUAGAAUCCGUAUCCGUAUGUUGUCGGAUCUGCAGUCGUAUCCUGUCUUCCUGAACGACCUCGAGGAGCCCGUCUUCUAUAUCCAAUGAUAUCCUCACGAAAUCUAUCAGGUGGUCGAC
rnacentral:lncRNA from 1 species